GUACACUCCUGCGGGAGGCAGCAGUGGGGAAUAUUGCACAAUGGGCGCAAGCCUGAUGCAGCCAUGCCGCGUGUAUGAAGAAGGCCUUCGGGUUGUAAAGUACUUUCAGCGGGGAGGAAGGCGAUAAGGUUAAUAACCUUGUUGAUUGACGUUACCCGCAGAAGAAGCACCGGCUAACUCCGUGCCAGCAGCCGCGGUAAUACGGAGGGUGCAAGCGUUAAUCGGAAUUACUGGGCGUAAAGCGCACGCAGGCGGUCUGUCAAGUCGGAUGUGAAAUCCCCGGGCUCAACCUGGGAACUGCAUUCGAAACUGGCAGGCUAGAGUCUUGUAGAGGGGGGUAGAAUUCCAGGUGUAGCGGUGAAAUGCGUAGAGAUCUGGAGGAAUACCGGUGGCGAAGGCGGCCCCCUGGACAAAGACUGACGCUCAGGUGCGAAAGCGUGGGGAGCAAACAGGAUUAGAAACCCUAGUAGUCCCA
rnacentral:rRNA from 1 species